GUUUUUGUUUCAAACGUAAUUUAGAAACUAUAAACUGGUUGUGCUUCAAUGGAAGGAUAAUUCAUCAGUAGCUUAGUUUUAUCCUAGUGUCCAUCACUGUGUUUUUUUAAAAGCAAAAUUUCCCGCUGAGCUCACCAGUCUGACUCUGAUGUUUCCACUCAGGUUUGAGCCGAUCCACUGAUGACCGCGGUACAAGAACCGUGCAGCGCGCUUCUUCCAACUAUGUAACCCUCCGCUGGAGAGAGGCGUUUGGGUCAAAGCAGCUCGAUCCAGUCGCAAAGGAGCCAAACUAUCGCCACAGCAACAACGGCGGAAUGUGGAAAUACAGGAUGUGAAAUGUGAUUCACCUGCAAACACUGAAACUCAUAAAGACUCUAUUCUAAGUGCAUCUGUACACAGAAGAACCACUCCAGGGUUUGGAGCUGGGACUCAGAGGUGUGUUCAUGGACACGCAGACGUCUGAACUGCCCUUCAGAUUAACUGGAUCUUUCCUUUAAAUUCGGUGUUAAAUGUGCUCAUUUUAAGAUCAGAAACACGUAAAUCGCUAACAUAAUACACAGAAUCAAUGGUUGUGAUGCUAACUUUUAUUAAGCUCAUUUUUUUGAGAAAUGUGCUGUCAAAUGAAUGCAAAUAUUGCAUCAUUUUUAUUUUGGGGUACUGUUUCAAUAAAUAACAUAUUACAAAUGUCCGAGCGAGAAUGAAACAUUUAUAAGACAUUCAAUAAUCGUGACUGUAUAUGAUUUUUAUUUAUUCCAACAUUACCCAACAUAUUUUCCGCAGCAUUUAAAUGUCGCUUCGGAUGUGUGAGCAUCUGAGCUCACAGUGAACCAGCCUCCCACUGCUCCUCUGCUUUUAUACCCGGCUAAAAAAAAACCCAACGCCAGCUAAUUGUUAACUCUAAACACUGUUCUGCUGUCCUGUAACUCUACACUACACACACACACACACACAUGACUGAUGUUGAACUAAUGGGUGGAGAAGACUGGAGCUUCUCAGUGACCCGUCAGAGGACACAGCUGAAAGAGCAGCUCAGGUAAAUGUUGGAGCAAAACCAACAACUGAUACCAACUAAUGUUUUAUUAUUAAAAAGUUGUUCAAAAAUAAACAAUAAAAUAUGCACUUUUUACUGUAAAGUGCUUUUAUUACUUCUAGGCGACACAAUUACAUUGUAAUAUGUGCAAGGGUGGAUAUUGGCAUGAAAGCCACUAAACUGGCUGAAAAAUCUUCUUUUAAGAACAUCUGUCAAUUUAAAUUAUUACCUGAGUUUGUUUAAAAAAAUUGCUUAUUGUGAAAAUGUAUAAACGUAAAAGCAAAAGCAUUGAAAACAUGAACUGUUUUCUGUACUUUUUUUAUAAUAUUGAAUAUUAUUAGAUAUAUCACUAUUAUUAUCAUUUUACAAAAUCUAAUAUUGGCAUAUUUAAAUUUUUGGGGGAACAAAUUGAAGUACAUUUUACAAUAGCCUGGCAGUAGCACUCCUAGAAAAAUUCCACAAGAGUGGCCAGACCACAGCAGUAAAAAUAUUAGAGGGGCUCGUUAAAAAACCCCCCAAAAACACGACAUAACUUUAUUUACUUAUUUAUUCUGGGGGGUUAAUAUAUGCUUCCAUUGAAGAAUAUGACAUGGACAAGACUAUCUAGGAGGGCCAGCAUUUUUUAAAAGGGGCCCCUUCCCUGCCUUCCCUUGGGGACACCACUGUAGCAGGGGGCGCUGAAGUUUUGGGGGUU